UACUUGGUUGAUCCUGCCAAGGAAGCACACUUAGGUCAUAGAUUAAGCCAUGCAAGUGUUAGUUCAGGUAACGAAACUGCGAAUAGCUCAUUAAUACGCUCAGAAUCUAUUUGGCGGCGACCAACAGGUCUUAAAUGGAUAGCAGCAGCAACUCUGGUGCUAAUACAUGCGAUUGUUUCUCCAGAUGUGAAUUAUGGAGGAAAAGUUGACCUCAUCAGAGGCACGCCAUUCGACUGAGUGACCUAUCAGCUUGUACUUAGGGUCUUUACCUAGGUAGGCUAUCACGGGUAACGGGCGGUUACUGUCGGACUGCCGGAGAAGGCGCCUGAGAGAUAGCGACUAUAUCCACGGGUAGCAGCAGGCGCGAAACUUUCCCACUCGAGACUUUCGGAGGAGGUAAUGACCAGUUCCAUUGGCGCCUUUUGGUACUGUGGAUAGGGGUACGGUUUUCCACGGUACCGAAACUUAGCAGAGGCCCAGUCUGGUGCCAGCAGCUGCGGUAAUCCCAGUUCUGCGAGUUUGCUCCCAUAUUGUGGCAGUUAAAACGCCCGUAGUCUGAAUUGGCCAGCAAUGGUCGUACGUAUUUUUACGUUCACUGUGAACAAAUCAGGACGCUUAGAGUAUGGCCACAUGAAUGACUCAGCGCAGUAUGAAGUCUUUGUUUUCUUCCGAAAACAAGCUCAAUGAGAGCCAUCGGGGGUAGAUCUAUCUCAUGACGAGUGGUGGAAUACUUUGACUCAUGAGAGAGAAGCUGAGGCGAAGGCGUCUACCUAGAGGGUUUCUGUCGAUCAAGGGCGAGAGUAGGAGUAUCCAACAGGAUUAGAGACCCUGGUAGUUCCUACCUUAAACGAUGCCGACAGGAGUUUGUCAUUUGUUAAUGGCAGAAUCUUUGGAGAAAUCAUAGUUCUUGGGCUCUGGGGGAACUACGACCGCAAGGC
rfam:Trichomonas vaginalis G3, whole genome shotgun sequence.